rnacentral:snRNA from 1 species
GGCGGUUAGGCCGAUAUGGCUGCGACAUCUGUCACCCCGUUGAUCGCCAGGGUUGACCUGGCUGAUCUGGCCGGCUAGGCGGGUGCUCCCUUUCCUCCCUGGCUGCCCCAUGGGCAUGCUUCCUGAAGCUGUGCGCCUGGUCGAAGAGGAUGCCCACGCCCGCUAGAGGGGGACCGUUCUUUGGUCAGGGGUAUCCGGGGAGCUGUGCCCCCUGCUGGAACCUCAAACAAGCUCUCGUGGUCCAGGACACUGGCCACAUCCUUUGUACAGCCUGAUGCAAAAUAAAAGGGCCGGACCCCUGAUUCAAAAAAUUAAAACGUUCAAGACGGUAA